rnacentral:lncRNA from 1 species
AGGGGACAAUACAUCAACAUUAAAGUCACUAUUUAAACAUUCUAGAAUAAUACCCCUGAGAUAAAAUUAUCUAUUUUCAACGAAAAUUAUCAAACACGGAGGGUUUUCCGACAAUGUCAUCACACCACACAGUGAGUCAUCGUCCGUAACUUCAACAACAUCGAAUUGAUUCAUCUCGGUCGAAUAUCGGACUUUGAUAAUUAGACGAUACUCAUCCCUCGGAGUAUCAGUUAAUCUAUAUAUUUUUCUCUCGAAUUCUAUAAAUGUAAUAUCCACUGGAAUACCACUUAAUUUCUUACAACCGGCAAUGUACUUUGGAUUGUU